rnacentral:tRNA from 1 species
GGGGUUGUAGCUCAGUUGGGAGAGCGUUAGACUGAAGAUCUAAAGGUCCCUGGUUCGAUCCCGGGUUUCUUCG